GUGCACAUGAUGUUAAAUUAAAUGUAUCUGAAUGUAUAUGAUGCAUUCAAAGGAACCACUGAUGCCA